GACGAACCGUGCGAACGUUGUUCGGAAUCACUGGGCUUAAAGGGCGCGUAGGCGGGCUGUCGAGUCCGGGGUGAAAUCGUUCGGCUUAACCGGACCAGGGCCUCGGAGACCGGCAGCCUGGAGGGAGGUAGGGGCACGCGGAACUUCCGGUGGAGCGGUGAAAUGCGUUGAUAUCGGAAGGAACGCCGGUGGCGAAAGCGGCGUGCUGGAUCUCUACUGACGCUGAGGCGCGAAAGCCAGGGGAGCGAACGGG
rnacentral:rRNA from 1 species